CUGGGGUUUGGACGUAGUUUGGGUAAGCCCUGAGUGACCGGACUGACAUGUGGCUGUAGUUUGGAUGAAGGCAGAGUUUAAGCCUCCUGAGCUUCACCUGGAUGAUCCUCUCCCUGUGAUCCUGGAAGAGCCUGAAAGAGAGCCACUCACCUGCUGCACUGCCUGUCUGCCUCUGUCUGGAACCAACUCACCUACCUCAAAACUGGAUUGUUUGUUGCAGUGUGUGAACCUCUCAGGUAUCACUCCAUCAUGACUUCUGCUCGGCUCCACUCCAGCUGCUCUCUGGCCUGGAUCGUGGACUGGUGCUCGUCCUCGUGCUCUUCUCCUUCCACAUGAACGUCCCCCUGUGUGGUCAGACCAUCCAACAUGUCUACUGCAGCAACCGAGCCACCUGAACCUGGCCUGCAUUCCAACCSCCGUAAACAUCUACGGUCUGGUUCUAACCUGGUCUGUUAGUUCUGUAAACUUCAUCCUCAUCGCUUUCUCCUACAUCAGAACACUGAGAGUUUUGUUGAAACAAGACCAAACUGACAGCUGCAUCCACAGCAAGGCCUUUCAGACCUGUGCUCCUCACAUCGUGGUCUACGUGCUCUUUCAGGUCGCUGCUUUAGUUGUUGUCAUCAGUUCCAGCUUCCCCUCUCUUUCCCAAAACAUAAAGAAUUUUUUUUACCAUCUUAGUUUUCAUCAUUCCACCCAUUAUUAACCCCAUCAUCUACGGCCUGGUCUGUAAAGACUUACGGUCCAGUUUCAUUUAGUAUUUCUCCAUAAGAGUCAAACCCAAAAUCUGACCCAAUAACUUCACGACAGAGUUUCUGAGCUCAUUUAUAUUUCUGUACAGUCAUGAAAUAAUACAUUUUUUUAGAAGCUCUACACUAAUUAACAAAAACUG